AGAGUUUGAUCAUGGCUCAGGACGAACGCUGGCGGCGUGCUUAACACAUGCAAGUGGAGCGACGAACCAGGGCUUGCCCUGGGGCAGAGCCGCGAACGGGUGAGUAACACGUGGGUUACCUGCCUCGAUGACUGGGACAACCCGAGGAAACUCGGGCUAAUACCGGAUGUGCCCGCAAGGGGAAAGGAAGCUUCGGCCUCCGCAUCGAGAUGGGCCCGCGGCCCAUUAGCUUGUUGGUGAGGUAACGGCUCACCAAGGCUCCGAUGGGUAGCUGGUCUGAGAGGACGAUCAGCCACACUGGGACUGAGACACGGCCCAGACUCCUACGGGAGGCAGCAGUGGGGAAUCUUGCGCAAUGCGCGAAAGCGUGACGCAGCAACGCCGCGUGGGGGAAGAAGGCUUUCGGGUUGUAAACCCCUUUCAGUUGGGACGAAGCUUCGCCGAUGAAUAGUCGGCUGGAGUGACGGUACCUUCACAAGAAGCACCGGCUAACUACGUGCCAGCAGCCGCGGUAAUACGUAGGGUGCAAGCGUUGUCCGGAAUUAUUGGGCGUAAAGAGCGUGUAGGCGGCCCGAUUAGUCCGCUGUGAAAGUCCAGGGCUCAACCCUGGAAUGCCGGUGGAUACUGUCGGGCUAGAGUCCGGAAGGGGCGAGUGGAAUUCCUGGUGUAGCGGUGAAAUGCGCAGAUAUCAGGAGGAACACCAAUGGCGAAGGCAGCUCGCUGGGACGUGACUGACGCUGAGACGCGAAAGCGUGGGGAGCAAACAGGAUUAGAUACCCCAGUAGUCC
rnacentral:rRNA from 1 species